AGAAAAGUGUCACUUGAUACUUAAUGAAUGGUCAUGUGGAAAGACAACAGAGAUUUGUUUGAUAACAUGUAGUUAAAGCCUAAAAGGUAUAAUGCUUUAGGACUUCUUCUUUCAGGGCUUCUUAAAGUGGAACUGACAGCAUUUAAACAACAUUAAAUCUUAUUUAAAAUAAUAUGUUCAAAUACACCCCCAGAAUCAAUAUCACACCGAUUUUCAAAUCACACAUAGGUCAUUUUGAAGAUUGUAUACUUUCUUGUUAUGUUUGGGAAUGACGUAGAAUAAGGCAUCUGUGAAAAUUCAACAGCAAUGUAGAAAACCAACGUUAACAUUUGGAGAAAAUGUUGACUUCGGCUACACAAAAAAGCCAUUUGCCUCAUAAGCUGUCUCAUUCGCUUUCAACUGAACCGUUCACAGGCGGAAAGUGAUAUCAUUAAAAAGCAUUAAUUAAAUCUAGAAGGAUCCCUGAAUGUUUUACUGCAAAUACGUAAACACUGCAGGGUCCUCUUGCACUAGGGAACACACUAGUCCUGAUCAAACCACCACAAAUUGUAGACUCCCUCUCCCUCAGCAGCACACACACACAAACAACACAAAUGCUAGCCAGGGCAUGAUGAGAUAAACUAUAAUGAGGGAACAGCAGUUAAACCCUCUCCGAUAUUUUCGUCUUGAACUUCGGUACACUUCGGCUGCUUGUCUGCCGGUAUGCUCUAAUGUCCCAACAUGGUCUCAAUCCACACUGUGACAACAAAGGGGAAGUCGCCUUUCUGCCCAUUUCAUUUAGAAUAAGAGAAAUGCUUAAUGCAUUGCAACUCAAAAUAGUUUUUCACUUAGAAUCAAUUCUAUGAGAUGACAACUCGACUAACAAGCUGAAGCACGCUUACAGCAAGUAAGACUUAAUCUGACACGUCCUAAAGGAACAAGUUCUACCGUUUGUGCAUGACAGCUCCAGACAUCAAAGGUUAACAUGUGGUUUUGCGGGAGCUGCAAACACUUGUGUGAAGUGGGAGACAGUUUAUGGGAGAGCAAUGUUUGCCACCAUCAAAAGAAGAAUGUGGAAGCGCCCCAUUUAUCGUGCAUGACUAAAUUAAACAGAUCCACAGAGAGAGAGAGAGAGACAGAGAGAGAGAGACAGACAGAGAGAGAGAGACAGAGAGAGAGAGACAGAGAGAGAGAGACAGAGACAGAGAAAGAGGGAACGAUAGGCAGAUGGAACAACCUCUUUGGUUAAGGGGCCGAUCAACCUUUUACGAGUACCUCUUCGUGUGUGUGUGGUUCUAAUAUACAGCCACACACUACAGCAGGUGUUUUCAACCCUGGACCUCCAGGCCGGUUCCACUCCAUUUUUUCACAGCAACUUCCUAAUCAGGGAUGUAUUUACCCCUGGGACAGCGGGUGCAAUUAAUGAUAAGGUAGAACCGAAAACCAGCUGGCUCCGGACCACGUAGGGGUGCAAAGGUACAGACAUGACAUGUCUAUGGAAUCGGGCGAUGUUGGACACAUGAAUAUUGGCAACUGACAUUGGCCCAGACUUUUCUCAUGGAUGCACCCGUAAUGAAUAACCCUAAUCCAUUACCCAUGAUCCCCCUGGAAGACACACUCAUACUGGUAUAACAAGGAGGGAGAAAUAAAGGCUUGCAUAUUAACCUUUUCUGUUGCGAAUGCAUUUGCGUUGUCCUUCGCUCAGUGGUGCAUGUAGACCUGGGGGCUGAAUUAUUAACUGGACCUUUCCAGAAGCAGGUGAAAGGACAAACAUGACAGGGUCCAUGAACCACACCAUCCAUCUGUCACCCUGCCCCUCACCACACAGGUGUGUCUCAGCGGUGGAGGCCACUCCAUUAGCCCACGUUAACACCUGUAACUGAACUUCCCAACAACCACACAGGUG